rnacentral:rRNA from 1 species
AACGAACGCUGGCGGCAUGCCUAACACAUGCCAGUCGAACGAGACCUUCGGGUCUAGUGGCGCACGGGUGCGUAACGCGUGGGAACCUGCCCUUAGGUUCGGAAUAACUCCCCGAAAGGGGUGCUAAUACCGGAUAAUGUCUUCGGACCAAAGAUUUAUCGCCUUUGGAUGGGCCCGCGUUGGAUUAGCUAGUUGGUAGGGUAAAAGCCUACCAAGGCGACGAUCCAUAGCUGGUCUGAGAGGAUGAUCAGCCACACUGGGACUGAGACACGGCCCAGACUCCUACGGGAGGCAGCAGUGGGGAAUAUUGGACAAUGGGCGAAAGCCUGAUCCAGCAAGGCCGCGUGAGUGAUGAAGGCCUUAGGGUUGUAAAGCUCUCUUACCCGGGAUGAUAAUGACAGGACCGGGAGAAUAAGCUCCGGCUAACUCCGU